UCUCUCUCCAGGCCAUGGAUUCCACCCAGAACUGACAUCCUGGCCUCCAGGCUUCAGGCCAUUAUUGGCUUGAAGGUGGGGCUUCACCAGGGACCCUCCCCUUCCUGCCUAGUAGCCUAUCUGCCUCCUGGGCUGACGUGUCAGCCAGUGCACCCAGGAUGUUCGUGCUGAGGCACCUGCGGACCCGUGCGGGGCUGCCCUCAGGCCCCACGCAGCCCCCCUCCCGUACUCGUUGACGUCCAAAGUCUGGAGGAGGCCGAGGGUUCAGGGCACUGGCAUGCCAGUGCCACCCCAAGCAUGGACACACCCGGCCUGGUUGCAGGAGCUCCCAGGCUCGGCCACAACUUUGCUCCCACCCGGAGUGGGUGCCAGGAGCGGGGAGAGGCCAGGCCCUGGGAGCAGGAACUUUCAAGCCUGCAGAGACAAGGGACUUCCUGGGCCCCGAGAGUGCAGCGAUGCCUGGGUCCUGGGCCGUGGCUGGGUGGCUGCAGCUGCACCUGGAGUGCGGGGCUCCUGGAGUGUCCCGCUCCUGCCCCACUGACUCCGUACAGUGCAGGGCUCCCCACUGUUGCCGGCCCCUGCUGGCUCCGCGAAGUAUGCAGCCCUGGCCGCGCCUACCCCGCUGCAGUGGAUGUCUUUGCAGCAGCCCCUCCAGAUGGGCCGCCGCUGCCAUCAGUAGUAUUUGGAAGAUAUCCUACAAUCAAAAGGAGAAAUUGACAAGUUUAUAAACAGAAUGAGUACAUUACUGUCUCAUCACGUGACACAUCAAAUCCAUCAGCUAGAAGCCAGAACGGGUGAGAUGUACACAUGACACAAAGUGGAAAGUGGGAGCUUCAAUUGUGAUUACCUAUUUUGAAAUGUGGAAAUGGUGGUAAAAAUGAGCUUCUCACCUUCGAUGUCACAUAUUCAGGUACUUCAUAACUUCUCUAAAUGUGCAAAGUAAGUUAUGCUCUAAGACUGAGGUAAUUUUCUUCAGAUUCCAUUCAUUACAAUUAAAUGGACUGAAUACAUGUAUAGAAAGCUCUUAGGGGAAUGUCUAACUCAAGUGCUAUAGAAGAUGCAGAAACUGUACCUUUGCAUUCCUAGCUGGUACAAGGUUGACAGUGCAUCAAAGUUGUUGUAAUUUGAUACCAUGUGCUUGUUUUAAUUGUAAUAAUUUGAUAUUUAUUGAUUGUAACUUUUUCACUACUUCCAACUCAGGAUAUUUGUUUGUCGUUGUCAUGGUAAGAUUGCCAAAUUUACCUGAAACAGAACCUAACCUUAUAUCCUUAAAGCAAUUCCUUCAACUAAGAUUUAAAUCCACAAGCUGGGUACAGUGGUGAACACCUGUAGUCCUAGCUAUUAGAGAGGCUAAGACAGGAGCCUGAGCGCAGGAGUUUGAGUCCAGCCUGGGAAACACAGCAAGACACUGUGUUUAAUUUAAAAAGGAAAAAAAAAUAAGGAUUCAAAUUCGGAUGACAGAGCUGUGUCCUAUAUUCGUCACAAUUGUUCUCCCUAAAAUAACAAAGUUUACAGCUCCUUAUCUUUUUUAGGUAAUAACAUCAAUAGCAAUUAGUAAAACACAGGUGAUGUUUAAUUUACCUGCUCUUUAUUUCAAAUUAUUUUUCUAUUAACUUCAUUUAUCUAUUUAAUUAUCUGCAAUUAAGUAGACAUUUAAUCAUUUUACCUCUUUUUCAUUUUGUUAAUAUAGAUUAUUGCCUAAAAAACUUGUAAGCAAAAAUCCUACCAAGACCUCCAAUUGGAAAAUUUGAAAUCCCAUUUGGUGAUCUAGAAGUACACUUUUGCAUGUAAUCAGAAGAAAGAAAGAAAAUAAGAAAGACAGAAAAAUAAUUAAGUAAAAGAAUAAAGAAGAAUGAAGAAGAAAAAUUAUUUACAAAGUAAGAAGGAGAUAAGAGGGAAGAGAUAGAAGGAAAAAACAAAAAGAAUAAAAAUGUUUAAUAUUUGAGAAAAUCUAGCAACUCACAGAAGAGUUCAUUUAUAUUAGGAUAAAAAAAAACUAAAAAAUGUUAAAUGGGUAUGUAAGAUAGGAGUCAAUGUAGAGUAACCUAUCACAAAAGUUAAUUGGAACAAAUUUAUGUUUAUUUAAAUAACACCUAGAAAUCUACAGUUAUGCCAGGUUAAUAAUUCUAAAAUUUUAAAUGUAACAUUUAAAUGUAAUUGUUUAAAAUAUAAUUAAUCCAUUAUAUUUAUACAUAUUUAUUUUUCCAAUUGCUUACCAAUAUAUAAUAGUAUAUCUCAUAUUGUAAAGUCAGUCUUGUUUUUCCCCUUCCUUCUCUUCCUCUUUUUCUUUUCUCUCUUCCUUCCUUUGUUUUUUUCACCACCGUUCUCUGUUUUCUUUCUUUCUUUUAUCCACCCUUAUUUAUUCUUCCCCACCUAAGAGGAACAUAGAAAUCACAAUCAGACCCACAGAAAUUGCUUAGAGUAUGGUCAGCAAAUGAGGAACACAUUUAUUGAUUAGCUUCUUUGAAAUAUCAUCUAUUUAUAUCUUAUAAAUUCAAAUUUAAUUAUCUAUCUUAUAGAAGAAAUUAGACAAUUAUAAACUUUCUAAGCAUUAAAACAGACAUCUGGUUAUUUCCUUGAGUAUUAAAACAUCCUAGAUUUUACUUCAUACAGGGAAUUCUGAAUCAUUUCCUGGACUUAAAUAGAUGUUUUCUCAUGUUUCUUUAUAAUCCAGGUUUAUUUAUGAUCACAAGAAGUUGAUGCAAUAUUAGUCACUGACAAGCUUCAUUCACCCUACUGUAUGAUGGAAAAAAGAGUCAAGCUUUGCCUAUGACAUUUUGUACUCCACGAGCCUUACACUUUGCUCUAG
ensembl:lincRNA